CCUACGUGAGGCAGCAGUAGGGAAUUUUCCACAAUGGGCGAAAGCCUGAUGGAGCAACGCCGCGUGGGUGAAGAAGGUCUUCGGAUCGUAAAACCCUGUUGUUAGAGAAGAAAGUGCGUGAGAGUAACUGUUCACGUUUCGACGGUAUCUAACCAGAAAGCCACGGCUAACUACGUGCCAGCAGCCGCGGUAAUACGUAGGUGGCAAGCGUUAUCCGGAUUUAUUGGGCGUAAAGGGAACGCAGGCGGUCUUUUAAGUCUGAUGUGAAAGCCUUCGGCUUAACCGGAGUAGUGCAUUGGAAACUGGGAGACUUGAGUGCAGAAGAGGAGAGUGGAACUCCAUGUGUAGCGGUGAAAUGCGUAGAUAUAUGGAAGAACACCAGUGGCGAAGGCGGCUCUCUGGUCUGUAACUGACGCUGAGGUUCGAAAGCGUGGGUAGCAAACAGGAUUAGAUACCCUAGUAGUC
rnacentral:rRNA from 1 species